rnacentral:rRNA from 1 species
AGUGAACGCUGGCGGUAUGCCUAACACAUGCAAGUCGAACGGCAGCACGGUAAGAUUUUGCUCUUACGGGUGGCGAGUGGCGGACGGGUGAGGAAUACAUCGGAAUCUACUUUUUCUUGGGUGAUAACGGAGGGAAACUUCUGCUACUACCUCAUACGUUCUACGGGUGAAAUCAAUAGUUCUUGGGACCUUUCGCGACUGUAUGAGCCGAUGUCGGAUUAGCUAGUUGUCUGGGUAAAGGCCAACCAAGGCGACGAUCCGUAGCUGAACUGAGAGGUUGAUCAGCCACACUGGAACUGAGACACGGACCAGACUCCUACGGGAGGCAGCAGUGGGGAAUCUUGGACAAUGGGCGAAAGCCUGAUCGAGCCAUACCGCGUGGGUGAAGAAGGCCUUCGGGUUGUAAAGCCCUUUUGUUGGGAAAGAAAAGCAGCAGGUGAAAACCCCGCUGUUCUGACGGUACCCAAAGAAUAAGCAACGGCUAACUUCGUG